UCCAACCCCUCCCCUCUUCUGUGCCUUCUGGAACAGGGAGUAUUGGUGUUCGCUUGCUUGUUUUACUUUUUAAAGGGAAACACUUUUCGUGAUCUGAAAAAUAUCAAAGUAUCCUCGCAUUCCCUAAUUCCUCUCCAAAGCCCAGGGGGCGAAAGAUAACUGGUCUUCAGGCAUCUGCUAUAGAAAUGUGCAGAUUGGACAGUGCGUAACUCACCCAACUGUACCUGGAGAUCCAGCACAGACCAGUUAGAGAGUACUGGAAGGGCGAUUCUACUGGUUCUUAGAGGUAACUUUGACACCAACCCUCACUACUUACAGCUCUGAAAUGAGAAAGACAGUGAUGCAGGCGUUACUGGUUGUGAGGAUGGAAUUACACGGUACUGUGAAUGAGGUCUUAGGCUGGACAUAGAACUGGAAUCACUGGAGAGCUGCCAAUUCUCUCUCUUUCUUUAACCCUCGCCUUCCCUUCCAAACAAAACACUGGACAGAUACUUGAAACGUGAACAUUCUGGAAACCAAGAAGCUGCCAGGACCCUCACCUGCUCAGGUGGCUUCAUCACCAGGUGCAUUGGAAUUCCACCUGUGAAAAGGUCACCGGAGUGUUUACUGCUUGUCUCUCUGGAAUGUGCAUGGUAGUUAGGCAUCUUAACUACGACAGAAAGGUCGACGUGAAGAUGCCCAAGCUGCAUAAGGAUGUCUAGGACUGCAGAAAUGCAUAAUUAAUUCCCUACUUUAAAAAUGCUCGGUGGAGAGGAGACCACUGGGGAGUAAAAUGCAGUGUGAUGUGAGCAGCAGUGGAGAUGGUCGUGGACCGGUAGAGGAAGGAGUGAAGGAUUCUCAUCUCAUGGGCUGCGGAGGCUUCCAGAAAGACCAGCUGUUCCAGGCGUGCAGGAUGGGCAAGCAGGAGUUCCUUGUCAAUCAUGG